GGGCGGUUAACUCAGUGGCAGAGUGUUUACUUGACGUGUAAAAAGUCGGGGGUUCGAAUCCCUCACCGCCCA
rnacentral:tRNA from 1 species